UAAUUCCUCAACUGCUGCACUGUCUACUAACCUCGUCGUUUCCCUGAACCUUUACAUAUACUAGAGUAGAUUAAUAAUUAACCUCCAAGUGGGGCACUUUGAAGCAAAUGUAAAAUGAAACCAAACACUUGUCUUGGUUUUUAGUCAUACCAGAUUUGCAAGUAGGGUGUGUUUAAAUGAUGCAGGUAGAUAAAGUCUUGUUAAUUUAGAUUAGAGUAAAAGUCAGUGCCUUAUCAAAGCAAGUGACUAAUUAGGAAAACUAUUACCUUUUGGAAAAGAAACAGUUGAACUAUCAGUCAAAAUUAUUUUAACUAAUUGAACUGUACUAAUAUUUAUGCUGAAUAAAGGCUCGUUCAACUGCUGGGGAAAGGAGAAAGACAGAGCUUUUCCCAGGAAUUGCCAGUGUUCUGUUUUUUUGAUAAUUUUGCCUUUAGUAACUUAACAGUACUUGUCAUCAGUGUGUAAACAUGGGGAAGGGAGGAGAGUCCUGUGAGUCAUCAGGGAGCCAAACUUACAGAAUUUAAGUGAAGAACUGCAGUAUUUAUGCAAAAUAUACUGCCUUCAGUCUCUCCACCUCACCAAGCCAACAGGACAGCAAAGUGCUUGUGAAUGGUUUGAAACGAUCCAGUGAAUCUCAGGUCUGUAAUAACUACGAUCAGGCAUUUGAGAACCUGCACGGGUAGAAACACUAGGGCAAAUUCAUGGUGUGAAAAGAAAGAUUAUGAUCAAACUGUAUUUAUGUUCAGACAGAUACAUGCAAUUGUGAAGAAUCAUUAAAUAACUGUUAACCACACCUGCACAGAGCCUCUGGCAAUGCUGGCUUAUACAGAAUCUCAAGAACUGCCAUGUGCCUGACAUCAUACCUUUGCAAGGAAAGAAAAGUCCUGGGUGUUAGCCCAAGACUGCUCAUGUUGCCGAAAGAAAUAGAGCCAUGCUUCUUGAUUGAAGAGACAGAGGAAACAGCAGCACUUGUUAUCUUCAGCAGUGUACUUCUGGGGAUGUGUUUGAUGGGUUUUUGUUGCAGCGAUGCUGAAGAGUUUUGCCCAAGAACAUUGCAGGCAAACUGUCUUUCUUAGUGUGUUGUGAGUCUUCCCUUCCAGAGGUAAGAUCUGAUGACAGCCUAAGUACUCUUUUUUUGAUAAACACCAUUUCAGUCUGGUCAGAGCUGGAAAGUUAUAGUGCUAGGGAGAGUGGCUUUAUUUUGAAUAGAGGAUAAGGUAGAGAAAUUCACGGGCAAGAAGAAAACAAAACCUACGA